rnacentral:lncRNA from 1 species
GCCGGGGCGUCCCCCGCGGGAGCCCGCAGCCACCCGGGACGCGCAUCCAGACGUGGCGCUUCGGACCGGGCACGCUGCGCCCGGGGGCUCGGCGGACCCCGCGUAGCCGCCGCUUCGGAGCUUGUGCGGCGCGGGCUGGCCAGCGGGGCGGCCAGGGCCCGGCCCGCCUCCCCAGCGCCCGCCCGGCUUCUCCCCCUGGCGGUGGGAGCCUCGGCGGCCGCUGGCGACACUAGGCGCACUGAAGCCCGAGCCGAGCCGAGCCCGAGCCGCCGCCGCCGCCGCCGCUGCUGCGCACCGCUCCCGGGCUCCCUCCCAGCGCGCCGGCCGGGGUGUGGGGGGCGGCGGGCCGGAGGGGCGAGGGCGGGCCAGGGGGCGCACACGGGGGUUGGCGCGGAAGACAGGACCCUCAGCCUCGAGGGAGCCCCUAGGUGACCAGGCAAAAUGGCAGUUCCUUCCAGCUGGUCCUCAGAUGGGCACAUCUAUUAGCCUCUGCUCUUGUAAGAAGUUAGCUGCAGAACCCACAUGUGAAUCCUUGUAGUGCUUUAUCAAAUUUCUACUAUGAACUAAGAACUGAGUGCUAUGGGAGACACAAAGGAGAGUCAGGACUCUGGAGAAGAUCAAAUGGGAGCUUAGAUGUGGAAGCUCUUUGGAAACCAAGAAACACUCUGAAAAUGAAAAGGGUGGAAGAGUAAACUGUUCCUGUUUCUCCAUCUUGACAGGAAGCAGAAGUUCUCCUUAGCUGAUUUUUCUUCUUGCCUUAUACUGGGUUCUUUAACACCAGAACAAAAAUAAAUAAAUAAAAGAAUCUUCCAGAAAUUCAUGAAGAGACUUCAGGUCAGGAAAGCCUGAACUUUCUCAUCCAACACCCGUUCAAGUCGGAGGAUGCUGAUUAAUUCAUGAUGGAAAGGUAUCAAUUUCACAGCCCAGACCUCUACAUUCUUGAAAUGCUCUUCUCAUGGGAGACAUUAAAUAAGCUUUGAAUUAACUGUCAGACGUUUGCUGAAUUCAGUUCUGAGCUUUUGAACCAAAAGCAGAUCUUCAGAACAAGAAACAAGAUAAUAAAAGAGAAACAUGAAGAAACUGAAGAUGAUUGGAGAAAUAUGAAUCAAGAUGAUUAGACCUAGCAGAGGGCUGGCUGGAUGGCAUUUAUGUUGACAAUGGACUCCUACACAGAGGAUGAUCAUGGUCUAGGACAUAAUAGUCAUUCAAUCAUCAUUUCUUAAAUGAUUUUUUAAAACAAGUGAAUGAAUGACCAAUUAUAUACCUUCCCUGAGCCAAUAAAAUAUAUUAAAAGUAUAGGCCUGGGCACAGUGGCUCAUGCCUGU